CCCAUUGCCUCAAAGUACCUCUCAACAGCCCAUAAGAAAUUAUCUAUCUCCCUCGCACUACGCUCACCACUAUAAGGCUUAGGCUUGGGAGCAUCAUACCUUAUAUUGGCAGCAACCCCACUUGUGCUUGCACCCCUACUGCUUGCCACCACAGUCUUGCACAAGUUUAGCUCCACAUCAAGCUAGUCCACCUUCUCUCGCAAUUGGCGUAGGGUUUUCUCCAACUUAUCCCCCUUCUUGGACACCAAGUCCACUGCCACAUUCAAGACUCCUUGCAUUUCAUCCCUAAGCUCAUUCACGUCCCCCUUGGACUCGAGCUCGAAAAUGCGAAGGUUUAUGUCCUCACACUUCUCCCUUUGCUCGAACAUGGUGGCUUCCAACCUCGUCAGCCUUUCCUCCAAUGCGGUCAGCAUGUCGCGGUACUUCUCCCUACACCCCCUCCUUUCCCUCAGAGGUUGUGAACUCUCUAUACCAUUGUUGCCAGACAUUAUAGACACUUAUAUUUCGAACAGUGCUACCCUUACUCGCGCGAACUCGCUAGCAUGACCCUUUGGCAAGAAUGUUAUUCCCCCAACAAGCUUGCUUCAAUCCUCACCAAAAGACACCUCACUUUGGUGGAGACAAUUCCCACUUCACCCAGCACGAGAGUGUCUUCACAACGGCUGCAAAGAUACCAAAUAUCAAUGGUAUCAGCAAGCUUUCACAUCAUCAUCGAGGAUCCCCAUUGCCUCAAAGUACCUCUCAACAGCUCACAAGAAAUUAUCUAUCUCCCUCGCACUACGCUCACCACUAUAAGGCUUAGGCUUGGGAGCAUCAUACCUUAUGUUGGCAGCAACCCCACUUGUGCUUGCACCACUACUACUUGCCACCGCGGUCUUGCAUAAGUUCAGCUCCACAUCGACAUGGUCCACCUUCUCCCGCAAUCGACGUAGAGUUUUCUCCAACUUAUCCCCC
rnacentral:lncRNA from 1 species